rnacentral:rRNA from 1 species
UGAGUACGAGAUGCUACGGCAUUGAAGCAGUCUAUGUCAUACUUCCAAGAAAAGCUUGCACUGUCAUAAACAAAGAAUGCCUGUACCAUAACCGACACAGGUGGGUAGGUAGAGUAUACUAAGGGGCGCGAGAUAACUCUCUCUAAGGAACUCGGCAAAAUGACUCCGUAACUUCGGGAGAAGGAGUGCCUUAUUUUUAAGGUUGCAAUAACAAGAUCCAAGCAACUGUUUAUCAAAAACACAGGUCUCCGCUAAGUCGUAAGACGAUGUAUGGGGGCUGACGCCUGCCCAGUGCCAGAAGGUUAAAGAAGUUGGUUAGCAUUCGCGAAGCUGAUAACUGAAGCCCUGGUGAACGGCGGCCGUAACAAUAACGGUCCUAAGGUAGCGAAAUUCCUUGUCGGGUAAGUUCCGACCCGCACGAAAGGCGUAAUGAUUUGGAUACUGUCUCGGAGAGGGACUCGGUGAAAUAGACUUGUCUGUGAAGAUGCGGACUACCUGCACCUGGACAGAAAGACCCUAUGAAGCUUUACUGUAACUUGAAAUUGAAAUUGGACUUUAGUUGCGCAGGAUAGGUGGGAGGCGUUGAGAAUAUUCUUGCGGGAGUAUUGGAGCCAUCAGUGAGAUACCACUCUUCUAAUGUUAGAUUUCUAACUUUGUAUCAUUAUCUGGUCAAAGAACAGUUUCAGGCGGGCAGUUUGACUGGGGCGGUCGCCUCCUAAAGGGUAACGGAGGCGCACAAAGGUUUCCUCUGAACGAGUAGAAAUCGUAUCUAGAGUGUAAAGGCAUAAGGAAGCUUGACUGUGAGACCUACAAGUCGAGCAGGGACGAAAGUCGGUCUUAGUGAUCUGACGGUGCUGAGUGGAAAGGCCGUCACUCAACGGAUAAAAGUUACUCUAGGAUAACAGGCUGAUCUCCCCCAAGAGUUCACAUCGACGGGGAGGUUUGGCACCUCGAUGUCGGCUCAUCGCAUCCUGGGGCGGUAGUACGUCCCAAGGGUUGGGCUGUUCGCCCAUGAAAGCGGUACGCGAGCUGGGUUCAGAACGUCGUGAGACAGUUCGGUCCAUAUCUGGUGUAGGCGUUAGAAUAUUGAGAGGAGCCUUCUCUAGUACGAGAGGACCGAGAAGGACAUACCUCUAGUGUACCAGUUAUCGUGCCAACGGUAAACGCUGGGUAGCUAUGUAUGGAGUGGAUAACCGCUGAAAGCAUCUAAGUGGGAAGCCCACCUCAAGAUAAG